ACAAAGGGUGCCUUCAACUAUAUGGGCAAGAGCCCUCUCACCAAUGGACAAAAAUCCAUUCCUCUUGAAUUUUAUAUCCUUACUCCACCAAAGCUUCUCUUCAUUGCAAUAGGCAAAUGCCACUUAUCAAUGGAGAGGCAAAUGCUCAGCAAUUGGCAAAGCACCUCUCUACAAUGGGUGAUAGCCUCACUCCAUGAGCUGAAAGUCAAAUAACCUUUUCUACCAUUCUCCUAUUUAUAGUGUUA
rnacentral:misc_RNA from 1 species